rnacentral:rRNA from 1 species
GACGAACGCUGGCGGCGUGGAUUAGGCAUGCAAGUCGAACGGUAUCAUCCUUUCGGGGGUGAGAGAGUGGCGAACUGGUGAGUAACACGUAGGUUAUCUACCCUCAAGACGGGGACAACCCAGGGAAACUUGGGCUAAUACCGGAUGUGAGCAACUUUUAGUUGUUUGAAAGGUGGCGUAAGCUGUCGCUUGGGGAUGAGCCUGCGUCCUAUUAGUUAGUUGGUGAGGUAACGGCUCACCUAGGCAAUGAUAGGUAGGCGGCCUUAACGGGUGGUCGCCCACACUGGGAUUGAGAUACGGCCCAGACUCCUACGGGAGGCAGCAGUCGAGAAUAGUCUACAAUGGUCGGAAGACUGAUAGUGCGACGCCGCGUGAACGAUGAAUCCCUUCGGGGUGUAAAAGUUCUUUUUAUAUGUGAGCAGUGCUUCUUAUAUUAACAGUAUGGGGAGAGAGAUAUUAGCAUAUGAAUAAAGCAAACGGCUAAACUCCGUGCCAGCAAGCCCGCGGUAAAAA